rnacentral:rRNA from 1 species
GACUUCCCAGGGCGGUCAACUUUACGCGUUAGCUACGUUACUAAGUCAAUGAAGACCCAACAACUAGUUGAAUCGUUUAGGGCGUGGACUACCAGGGUAUCUAAUCCUGUUUGCUCCCCACGCUUUCGUGCAUGAACGUCAGUAUUGGCCCAGGGGGCUGCCUUCGCCAUCGGUAUUCCUCCACAUCUCUACCCAUUUCACUGCUACACGUGGAAUUCUACCCCCCUCUGCCAUACUCUAGCCCGCCAGUCACAAAUGCAGUUCCCAGGUUAAACCCGGGGAUUUCACAUCUGUCUUAGCGGAACGCCUGCGCACGCUUUACGCCCAGUAAUUCCGAAUAACGCUUGCACCCUACGUAUUACCGCGGCUGCUGGCACGUAAUUAGCCGGUGCUUAUUCUUCCGGUACCGUCAUCCUCCCGCCGUAUUAAGGCAGAAGUUUUCUUUCCGGACAAAAGUGCUUUACAACCCGAAGGGCUUCUUCACACACGCGGCAUUGCUGGAUCAGGCUUUCGCCCAUUGUCCAAAAUUCCCCACUGCUGCCUCCCGUAAGAAUCUGGGCCGUGUCUCAAUCCCAGUGUGGCUGGGCGUCCUCUCAGACCAACUACAGAUCGUCGCCUUGGUAGGCCUUUACCCCACCAACUAGCUAAUCUGCCAUCGGCCGCCCCUGUAGCGGGAGGUCCUAAGAUCCCCCCCCUUUCCUCCGUAGAGCGUAUGCGGUUUAAUCCGGCUUUCGCCGGGCUAUCCCCCCACUACAGGACACGUUCCGAUGUAUUACUCCACCCGUUCGCCACUCGCCACCAGGGUGCCCACCGUGCCUGCCGUUCGACUUGCAUGUGUAAUGCAUGCCGCCAGCGUUCAAUCUUGACCCAGGAAUCAAAACUACAAUUCAAUG